UUCUGGAUUGCAGAUUCUUUUCCCUCAGAGUUUUGAAGUCAUUGCUCUGUUUUUUUCUGACAUUCAUUGUUGCUUAUGAGAUGUAGAAAUUUAGCCUCAUUUUUGUUUCCUGUAGGAAAUUAAUUUUCUCCCAUCUCUGGAAGCUUAUCUUUUAUAUUCCAUGUAUUUUAUACUUUCAUAGUGAUAUACUUGGUGGGCCCCCUUAAUCUGAAAACCAGUAUUUUCACAUUUAAUGAAGUUAUCUUCUUAGAUAAUGUUCUCCCCUCCAUUUUUUUCUUUUUGUCAGAAACUUUCUAAUAUCGGGCCUCUCAGAUUGUUCUGUAAUGUUCUUAUCUAUUCACUCUUGUUUUCUGUGCCUUAGCUUCUCUUUUCUGGGAGACUGUCAUGAUUUUAUCUCUCAGUCUUUCUAUUGAUUUUUUUUUUUUUUCAGUGUAUUAAAAAAAUUUUUUUAGAACUGAUUCUUGUCCUGAUAUUUAAAAAUGCAUUCAGGAGCACCUGGGUGGCUAAGUCAGGUGAGCAUCUGACUUGAUUUCAGCUCAGGUCAUGAUCCCAGGGUCAUGGGAUUGAGCUCUGUGUCCAGCUCCACUCUGAGUGUGGAGCCUGCUUGGGAUUAUCUCUCUCUCUCCCUUUGCCCCUCUCUCCUGCCUGCUUGCUCACUCUCUCUCUCUCUCUCUCUCUCAAAUUAAAAAAAAAUAAUUGCAUUCAGUUUUUGUUUUAUCUCCGAAGAUAGUUUUUAGAAUUUUUGUUUUUGUUUUUAAUUAUCCCUAUUUCCUCCAGUCAUUUUCUUUUCCUGUUUGUUUAUCUUGGUCAGGUGAUACUUGCCUGUUCUUUCUUUUUUAAGAAUGAAAGAUUAAAUGGGACUACACCAAAGUAAAAAGCUGCACAGCAAAGGAAACCAUCAACAAUUAACUGAAUGGGAGAAGAUAUUUGCAAGCGAUAUAUUCAGUGUUGGGAAAACAACAAAGUAGGAAAAUUCCUGCCUGGAGGAGAGAGAUUUUAUAUCCAUAUAAAUGUAUGUGUGUGUGUAUAUAUAUAUAUAUAUAUAUAUAUAUAUAUAUAUAUAUAUAUGUAUGUAUAUGUAUAAAGCUAAAUUAUCAUAUGGCACAUAGCAUUAUAGACUAAAUGCUGGAUGAGUAGAAUAGAUACUUAAAUGUUCUCACUUUUAUGAGUAUGUGCCAGUUUGAGAGGUGAAAAAAAAAACCCACUUUAAUUUGCCUUUUUUCCCCAUUUAUUUUUUUAUUUUUUUUCAAUAUAUAAAAUUUAUUGUCAAAUUUCCAUACAACACCCAGUGCUCUUUUUUCCCCAUUUAAAGAUUAAUUUUUUUCACUUGUGUAUGAAUUGCCUGUUCAUGCUUUUUGUUCACCCUUCCAUGGAUGUGUUUGUACUUACUGAUUUGUAAACACUUUAAAAAGGUUAUUUAGCCCUUUGCCUAUAACAUUUUUUUUUUUAAUGUUUAUUUUGGAGGAGAGAGAGAGAGAGACAGAGACAGAGCACGAGUGGGGGAGGGGCAGAGAGAGAGGGAGACCCAGAAUCUGAAGCAGGCUCCAGGCUCUGAGGUGUCAGCACAGAGCCCGAUGCCUGGCUCGAACUCAUGAACCAGGAGAUCAUGACAUGAGCUGAAGUCGGAUGCUUAACUGACUGAGCCACCCAGGUGCCCCAGCCUGUAACAUUUUGAAAAUGCUUUUCAUAGUAUUUUGAUUUAAAUUUUGUUUGUGAUGUUUUGUUGAUGUAUAGGAGCUUAAACAUGUUAUGUAUUUGAAGUUACUCAAUUUUUGUUUUUUUUGUGUUUUGGAAAGUGUUACUACACCUCAAGAACAGACAAAUAUUUACAAAUGCCUUCUUCAAGAUGUUUAGUAUAAACUACAUACAUAGUAUUGUACUUUAUACUUAAAAUUAAAACUUUUUAAAUGUUUAUUUUUGAGACACACACACACACACACACACACACACACACACACACACAGAGUGUGAAUGGGGGAGGGGCAGAGAGAGAGGGAGACAGAAUCUGAAGCAGGAUCCAGGCUCUGAGCUGUCAGCACAGAGUCCGACACGGGGCUCAAACUCAUGAACUGUGAGAUCAUGAUCUGAAUAGAAGUUGGAUGCUUAACCCACUGAGCCACCCAGUGCCCUAUUUAUACUUAGAACUUUAAACCAUUUUGGAAUAUGUUUUUUUGGAAUAUUGCGUGAAAUGAGCUAAUUUACUUUUUGCUCAAUCAGUUUAGUAGUGGGUUUUUUUUAUGUUUAUUUUUGAGAGAGCGAGUGAGCACAAGUGGGGGAGGGGCAGAGAGAAAGAGGGACAGAGGAUCCAAAGAGGGCUCCAUUCUGACAGCAGUGAGCCUGAUGUGAGGUUCGAACUCGCAAACUGCAAGAUCAUGACCUUAGCUGAAGUCGGAUGCUCAACCGACUGAGCCACCCAGGUACACCAGUUUAGUAGUUUUCCUAGUACUGUUUAUUAAAUAAAUAUUUAUCUUUUUCUGAUUUGAAAUGCUUUAUCAUAUAUGGAAUCUGUUACUUGUUAAUCUGUUCCUGUAUCAUUACCAGAGAGGUUUGUUUUUUUAAAAAAAUGUUUUUUAGUGUAUGUUUAUUUUUGAGAGACAGAAUGUGAGUGGAGGAGGGGCAGAAAGAGAGGGAGACACAGAAUCCAAAGCAGGCUCCAGGCUCUGAGCUGUCAGCACAGAGUCCUAUGCGGGUCUUGAACUCACCAGCCUCGAGACCAUGACCUGAGCUGAAGUUGGAUGCUUAACUGAGCCACCCAGGUGCCUCUGGGUAUUGUUUUAGACCAGUGUUUAGUUCUGAAACUUUUUGCUGUGUUGUUUCUGGUCAUUUUUACACAUGGGUCACUCAGAGGUAUGUCUAGUAUUUUGUACACAUAUUUAGAAAAUUUGUUUCCCUAACUCCCUCUUCACCAUGAUCCUCCCCCCUACUCUCUAGUUGGGCUGGAGUUGGAACUCCGUUUCAUUAUGCCAGGGUGGAGAUAGACUACCUGGCUCUACCCAUAUUCUCCACAGCUGCACCAUGGGGAGGGAGAAAAAGUGCUGCCUCAUUAAUGCAGGAUUGGAAGACAGAACUCUGCUCACAGUUUCUGGGCCACAGUGAGGUGAGGGGAGGGAGGGGUGCCACUUUUUUGGUUGUUGUUUGCCUGGAGUGGGACAUAUAUGGUCAGAAUGUUUUUAUCUUGCCUGAGCUGCCCUUUUCCUGAUCCUUUGUCUAGAGAAAGCAGUCUUGGCACUUUUUUGAUUGUGCUCAUUACUGUUUGCAGGUUGUAGGCCUCUCCAGAGCUCAAACUAGGACAUAGCAGAAGUCAAACCAAACCAAAUCAAACAAAAACUAGGAAACUUUCUGCUUGGUCGGUCAGUCCCUUGGUCCAUGGGACCUAGCCAAUCCACCUUCUUUUUUCCACUUUUCAGGAUCUUCUGUCCGUUCUUUCUUGAAUUUUGUCUGUUUUGUUUUGUUGUUGUUGUAAUUAGGGUAUGUUUAUGUUGAAAUAGGGUAGAAUACGCAUACUCUAGAAGACCUAGAAAACCCCAUUUCAGUUUUAAAAUACGAGCUUUAGUUAAGGAA